rnacentral:rRNA from 1 species
AAUGAACGUUGGCGGCAUGGAUUAGGCAUGCAAGUCGAGCGGGCGUAGCAAUACGUCAGCGGCGUAAGGGACAGGAACACGUAGAUUACCUGCCCUCGGGUCUGGGAUAGCCACGGGAAACUGUGGGUAAUACCAGAUGAUAUCUCCGGAUCAAAGGUGUGAUUCCGCCCGAGGAUGGGUCUGUGUCCUAUUAGCUAGUUGGUGAGGUAAUGGCUCACCAAGGCGAUGAUGGGUAGCAGGUGUGAGAGCACGACCUGCGUCAUUGGGACUGAGACACUGUCCAGACACCUACGGGUGGCUGCAGUCGAGAAUUUUUGGCAAUGGGCGAAAGCCUGACCAAGCGAUGCCGCGUGCGGGAUGAAGGCCUUCGGGUUGUAAACCGCUGUCAGUGGGGAGGAAAGCUUUGUGAAGAGCAAGGCUUGACCUAUCCGCAGAGGAAGUGUGGGCUAAGUUCGUGCCAGCCGCCGCAGUAA